rfam:Triticum aestivum genome assembly, contig: Triticum_aestivum_CS42_TGACv1_scaffold_502889_6BL
UGUGUACUCCCUCCGUUCCAAAAUACUUGACUUCCAUUUGUCCAAAAAUGGAUGUACCUAUAUACUAAAACAUGUCUAGAUACAUAUAUAUUUUGACAAAUAGAAGGCAUGUAUUGUGUAACGGAGGGAGUAGAAU